rnacentral:rRNA from 1 species
ACAGGUGCUGCAUGGCUGUCGUCAGCUCGUGUCGUGAGAUGUUCCGGUUAAGUCCGCUAACGAGCGCAACCCUCGCUGUGUGUUACAAGUGUCACACGGUACUGCCGGUCUUAAGCCGGAGGAAGGUGGGGAUGACGUCAAGUCAGCAUGGCCUUUAUGUCCUGGGCUACACACACGCUACAAUGGCCAACACAAUAGGUUGCUAAGCCGCGAGGUGGAGCCAAUCCUCAAAGUUGGUCUCAGUUCAGAUUGCAGGCUGCAACCCGCCUGCAUGAAGAUGGAGUUGCUAGUAACCGCAGGUCAGCUAUACUGCGGUGAAUACGUUCCCGGGGCUU